CAAUUGGUGCGACACCUGAAUAUUUGGCUGGUUACUACAUGCUUCAAGGUGCUAGUUCGUUUUUGCCAGUGAUGGCCCUUGCCCCUCGUGAGAAUGAGCGGAUUGUAGAUGUAGCUGCUGCUCCUGGUGGGAAAACAACGUAUAUUGCUGCGCUAAUGAAAAACACUGGCUUAAUAUAUGCGAAUGAGAUGAAAGUACCUAG